UCGGAGCGGCUCGGGUGAUCGCCGGCCCCCGAGGCUCGCCUCGGGGGCGGGAGGAAAGUCCGAGCUCCAUAGGGCAGGAUGCCAGCUAACGGCUGGUGGGGGCGACCCCCAGGAAAGUGCCACAGAGAGCAGACCGCCGUGUCGUCUUCGAUCCGUCGAGGGCCGCACGGUGAGGGUGAAAGGGUGAGGUAAGAGCUCACCGGAUCGGCGGUGACGUCGAUCGCACGGCAAACCCCAUCCGGAGCAAGACCGAAUAGGGAAGCGUCACGAGGGCGGCCCGCCCCAGCUUCCGGGUAGCGUCGCUCGAGGCCCGCGGUGACGCGGGUCCUAGAUGAAUGAUCGCCACCCACCGGCCGGCGACGGCGGUGGGCACAGAACUCGGCUUACGAGCCCUCCGACCGC
rnacentral:RNase_P_RNA from 1 species